UACGGAGGGGGCUAGCGUUGUUCGGAAUUACUGGGCGUAAAGCGCACGUAGGCGGCUUUGUAAGUUAGAGGUGAAAGCCCAGGGCUCAACCCUGGAAUUGCCUUUAAGACUGCAUUGCUAGAAUUGUGGAGAGGUAAGUGGAAUUCCGAGUGUAGAGGUGAAAUUCGUAGAUAUUCGGAAGAACACCAGUGGCGAAGGCGACUUACUGGACACAUAUUGACGCUGAGGUGCGAAAGCGUGGGGAGCAAACAGG
rnacentral:rRNA from 1 species